rnacentral:rRNA from 1 species
AACGCGAAGAACCUUACCAGGGCUUGACAUGCUCUUGCACCAGCCGGAGACGGCUGUCCCUUCGGGGCGGGAGCACAGGUGCUGCAUGGCUGUCGUCAGCUCGUGUGGUGACAUGUUGGGUUAAGUCCCGCAACGAGCGCAACCCCUGUCCUUAGUUGCCAGCAUUCAGUUGGGCUCUCUAAGGAGACUGCCGUGGUGAACACGGAGGAAGGUGGGGAUGACGUCAAGUCCUCAUGGCCUUUAUAUCCAGGGCGACACACGUGAUACAAUGGACGGUACAGAGAGACGCCAAGGGGCGACCCGGAGCCAAUCUCAAAAAGCCGUUCUCAGUUCGGAUUGGAGUCUGCAAUUCGACUCCAUGAAGUUGGAAUCGCUAGUAAUCGCGGAUCAGCACGCCGCGGUGAAUACGUUCCCGGGCCUUGUACACACCGAUAGC